GCAAAUUUGAGGCCAGGAGACGUUAGCUUAGCUGAGCACGAAGCCUCGAGUUUUAAUGCAACGAUGAGUCCAAGGAAAGAUUUUAGUAUGUUUCAUUUACCAAAGAAGAAGCAGAGAGACAGUCAGCUGAUCGACUGUUUCACGAUGGAUGCAGAGCAGUAAAAAGCUGGUGAGGUCUCUGACCUGCAGCAGAGUAAAAGUCAGGAUGCUCGAGCUCGGAACAAGUGGCUGAAAAUCCUCUAAAGCUGACUUGGUUUGGAUCCUGGCAGAAACGCUGUGAGCCUUUACAGAGACGCACCUUUUUCUGCUCAGCUUAGCAAACAGCUUCAUGGCUCCACAUUUAGCAGAGCGAUGUGAGAGUGGUCCGACCCCCUCAAGCUGUGAAGGAAUCAAAUGUUAAACUAUGCAAAACAGGACAGUAUUGGGCACAUGCACAAUAUGAAGAAGCUGCACAUGAAUUAGCUUUAAAGAGACUAAAAAGUAAUGAAGAGAGGAGAAUGAAUGUGAAGAAAUGUUUUAGUUUCACUAUAUUUCUUUGAGAUAUUGUUCAUGUUUUUAUUUAUUUGUAUUUUCAUGUGAGGUAAUGAUGCAGAUUUGAUCCCUUUGAAGAGAUUUUUAAAGCUGUUUUUGUCAAACUGUCAGUUUCUGCUGGAUAAAGGUGUAAAGCAGGGGUGUCAGACUCAGUUUGCAUUGUGGCCACAUACAGCCCACCCUGUGUUAAAAGGCCCGGACCAGUGAAAGUGGCCUUUCUGUCAGCGUAAAGAAGCUUAAGUACAUAUUUAAUCCCUGACAUGUGUUCAUAUGAGACCAAGAAGGGCAGUCUGCACAGUACAGCUCAGUUUUUCUACGUGAUAAAUAAAAGCAGCUGCAGGAAAGAAAGAAACCUGCCAGCCUGACUCUUUGGGCUUAAAUGUUCAGAGAGCUCAUUCCUCACACUGUACUUAUAAAACACCAAGUUUUUGUUAAUUCACAGAAAACUUUUACUGUAGUCUCAUUAUUGAAAAAAGAAAUUUUCUGCCCUCAAACUGAUUUUCUGUUAUUUUAUUUCUGUGUUAUAGUAUGAAUGUGGAUGGUGGACGUCUUUAUCAGUAAGAAAAGCUGCAAACUUACGGAAAUACAGUUAAAAGGGCAAAAUUUAUGCCUUCCUUCACUUGUUCCACCGGCCGAAUUAGAGUCUUUGCUGGGCCCCGAGCCUCCUGUUUGACACCCCUGAUAUAAAGACACCUGUGAACUUUAAAAUGUGACUGUAUGACUUAAUGUGGUCUAGAUGUACCGUCAGAGCUUUGUUUUUAUUUCUGUAGAGAGUUCAGUGAUAAUGUGAAAGAGUUUUGUGCUUAUGUGAACUCAUGUCUCCCUUCAGUCUGACAGAUUCAUUUAAUUUUAAAUUGUGAAAGCCUCCCUGACUCCUGUGCGGCUGCUCGUCUCACC
ensembl:lncRNA